rnacentral:rRNA from 1 species
UACGUAGGUGGCAAGCGUUGUCCGGAUUUAUUGGGCGUAAAGCGAGCGCAGGCGGUUUCUUAAGUCUGGUGUGAAAGCCCCCGGCUCAACCGGGGAAGUUCAUUUGAAACUGGGGAACUUGAGUGCUGAAGAGGGGAGUGGAAUUCCUAGUGUAGCGGUGAAAUGCGCAGAGAUUAGGAGGAAUACCGGAGGCGAAGGCGGCCCUUUGGGCAUAAACUGACGCUGAGGUGCGAAAGCGUGGGUAGCAAACAGG